GAUGAACGCUGGCGGCGUGCUUAACACAUGCAAGUCGAACGGAAAGGCCCUGCUUUUGUGGGGUGCUCGAGUGGCGAACGGGUGAGUAACACGUGAGUAACCUGCCCUUGACUUUGGGAUAACUUCAGGAAACUGGGGCUAAUACCGGAUAGGAGCUCCUGCUGCAUGGUGGGGGUUGGAAAGUUUCGGCGGUUGGGGAUGGACUCGCGGCUUAUCAGCUUGUUGGUGGGGUAGUGGCUUACCAAGGCUUUGACGGGUAGCCGGCCUGUGAGGGUGACCGGCCACAUUGGGACUGAGAUACGGCCCAGACUCCUACAGGAGGCAGCAGUGGGGAAUAUUGCACAAUGGGCGGAAGCCUGAUGCAGCAACGCCGCGUGCGGGAUGACGGCCUUCGGGUUGUAAACCGCUUUCGCCUGUGACGAAGCGUGAGUGACGGUAAUGGGUAAAGAAGCACCGGCUAACUACGUG
rnacentral:rRNA from 1 species